rnacentral:misc_RNA from 1 species
CAUAGCAUGCUGAAUUCUGGUGAACCUGAAGAUUUUAGAGAGAGGAAGAAAAGCCUUACAAAACCUCCAAAAUUUUCACCAAAUUAUUCUCCCAUCUUUUACCACCCAAAUCUUGAAGUGGGGAAAUGGCCUUACCAAUCAUAUCUGAUGUGAACAGUUAAAAUUCAAGAUUGGGAGCUCUAUGAUUAUUGAUGUAUGCUAGAAAUUAUAAUAAUAACUUCUAAAGAUCCAAAAUGAAUGCAUGGCUCUUAACACAAG